rnacentral:misc_RNA from 1 species
CAAUGCAACCUGCGGAUAUCUUCAUAAAGGCAUUGGGAAAGGAUCAGUUUAACUUUCUUCUUCGCAAAUUGGGCAUUCGAGAUCUCUAUGCUCCAACUUGAGGGGGUAUUAGAAAAGCAACUGUUAACUGUCACUUAUUUUGCAUUUAUUUAGGGCAUUUGUUUAGGAAUUUUUGUGUGCAUAUCUGUUCUUACCUUUUGUUAUAUGAUUCUGAUACAAUUUUGAUAAUUUAGCUUGAUUAGAAACCUAUUU